rnacentral:tRNA from 1 species
UGGACAGAUAGCUGAGACGGAUUAGCGAUUGGCUGAAAACCAAUAGAGGUUGGAUCGUUACCAACUCUGUCCACCAA